GUAGUUAGCCGGGGCUUUCUUACAGGGUAACGUCACUUCCUUCGUCCCCUGCGACAGAGGUUUACAAUCCGAAGACCUUCUUCCUUCACGCGGCGUUGCUGGGUCAGGCUUUCGCCCAUUGCCCAAUAUUCCCCACUGCUGCCUCCCGUAGGAGUCUGGACCGUAUCUCAGUUCCAGUGUGGCCGAUCACCCUCUCAGGUCGGCUACCCAUCGUUGCCUUGGUAGGCCAUUACCCCACCAACUAGCUAAUGGGACGCGAGCCCAUCCUAUACCGAAAUUCUUUGACCUCUCUGUCAUGCGACAAUAAGGUCUUAUGCGGUAUUAGCACCAGUUUCCCGGUGUUAUCCCCCUGUAUAGGCCAGGUUGCUCACGCGUUACUCACCCGUCCGCCGCUGAAAUCACCGGGUGCAAGCACCCUGUGAUUCCCGCUCGACUUGCAUGUGUUAGGCACGCCGCCAGCGUUCGUCCUGAACCAAGAUCAAAUUCUGA
rnacentral:rRNA from 1 species